UUUCUAACUUAGAGCUGCUGUUCCUCUCUCUCUAGAAUCUUCAAAACCAUUAUUUCUAACACCAGAGCCAUCAUCUAACUCGAGUCCAAUCUUCUUUCUCUGUUCAUUGCUCUGAAGGCAAAAAUGGAGAUCUACCCCCAAACUUCCGAUCAUGAUGUCGACCCACUCAGAGGAGCUGCAGAAUGCCGACCCAACAUAGCAAAGAACGUUAAAUGUCUGGAGCCUAUCUGAUGUGGAAAAGAAAGGUAUAGGUAUGUAUCCCUUCAACUCUUAUUUGUGUGUCGUAGGAAUAUGAUUUUCGUCUGCUCAUAAUUGUCCUCUGUGCUUUUUGCGUGUCUUCGUUGAUGUAUGUUGAGCAAAAAUAUAUGCAUAUGGAUGGCCUUGAUGACUGUGUUCUUCUCUAUGCUGCUUGGAUCCCCACCCCCAAACUUGUAUGUAAUUAUAUUCUUAAUGAAAUGUGAGAGAAGGUGAGUGAAGGGGAAUUCCAAGCAGUGUAGAGCCUUCUUUGGGUAGGUUUCUGAAACUCAAGACUCCAGUUCGUAUUCCUUUUUAAAAUUCUGCACUUUAAUGUUGAUGUUGAAUGCAAAUGCAACCUGCAAAAACACACAUUAAAAAUCUAA